rnacentral:lncRNA from 1 species
GCGCUACUUGCACGAGGCCUCGCCGUUCCGUUGCCAAAAGCCAUCAGCCGUCACGAGCGAUGUCGCCUCCCGAUGUUGCUCGCAACAAUCGAUGGCAAUCGGAACGUACUGAGCUUAGCCCCAUGCGCACGGCACCUUGCGGCGCUACUUGCACGAGGCCUCGCCGUUCCGUUGCCAACAGCCAUCAGCCGCCACGAGCGAUGCCAGACACAACUCACAACAACCGAUGGCAAUCGGAACGUACUGAGUUUAGCCCCAUGCGCACGGCACCUUGCGGCGCUACUUGCACGAGGCCUCGCCAUUCCGUUUCCAAAAGCCAUCAGCCGCCACGAGCGAUGUCGCCUCCCGUUGUUGCCCACAACAACCGAUGGCAAUCGGAACGUACUGAGUUUAGCCACAUGCGCAUGGCACCUUGCGGCGCUACUUGCACGAGGCCUCGCCGUUCCGUUGCCAAAAGCCAUCAGCCGCCACGAGCGAUGUCGCCUCCCGAUGUUGUCCGCAACAAUCGAUGGCAAUCGGAACGUACUGAGCUUAGCCCCAUGCGCACGGCACCUUGCGGCGCUACUUGCACGAUGCUCCGCCGUUCCGUUGCCAAAAGCCAUCGGC